CUGAUUCCUAGUACGGCGAGUGAGAGGAAGAGCUCAAAGUUGGAAACUGUUUGGCUUAGCUAAACCGUAUUGUAAACUGUAGAAACAUUUUCCUGGCACACCAGAUUAAUAAGUCCUUUGGAACAAGGCAUCAUGGAGGGUGAGAAUCCCGUCUUUGAUCUGAGUAGUUGUCUUUUGUGAUAUGUUUUCAAAGAGUCAGGUUGUUUGGGAAUGCAGCCUAAAUUGGGUGGUAAAUCUCACCUAAAGCUAAAUAUUUGCGAGAGACCGAUAGCGAACAAGUACCGUGAGGGAAAGAUGAAAAGAACUUUGAAAAGAGAGUUAAACAGUAUGUGAAAUUGUUAAAAGGGAACCGUUUGGAGCCAGACUGGUUUGCUUGUAAUCAACCUAGAAUUCGUUUUGGGUGCACUUGCAGGCUAUACCUGCCAACAACAGUUUGAUUUGGAGGAAAAAAUUAGUAGGAAUGUAGCCUCUCGAGGUGUUAUAGCCUACUAUCAUACUCUGGAUUGGACUGAGGAACGCAGCGAAUGCCUUUAGGCAAGAUUGCUGGGUGCUUUCGCUAAUAAAUGUUAGAAUUUCUGCUUCGGGUGGUGCUAAUGUUUAAAGGAGGAACACAUCUAGUAUAUUUUUUAUUCGCUUAGGUUGUUGGCUUAAUGACUCUAAAAAACAAAAUCUUGAACCACCGGACACCAA
rnacentral:rRNA from 1 species